rnacentral:lncRNA from 1 species
CGGGUUUAAGAGCUCGCGGCUGGGCACCCAAAGGGCGCCGCCGGAGUUUGCCACCGCUGGCAGUGAGCUCAGGUGAGCCGGCGGUUGUAAGGCGAUGAUGAUUUUUGAGCCUAACUAUGUUAUAUGAGUGUGAUUAUGUGCUAUAUCAAAGUGUAAACAAGAAUAUUUGAGAAAUUGAGUUGAUUUUCUUGUUUUAGUAAUAAGUGUUUUGUGAUUAAUUGUGAGUAGGUGAUGUAUAUUUGUUUUAUGUGAGUUUUAAGUCAAAUAUGUAUAAUUGUAUGCGAUACUUUCAAGUUACUUGUGUAUACAAAAGAUUAAGGUGCCGGCUAUGAUAAAGAUUGAGCCGAAAAGAAUUGAUUAUAUUUUUGGACUUGGAUUGUUUGGAAUUUUAAUCAUUAUUAUUUAUGUUAAUUGGGUUGGAUAGUAGCUAUGUGGUGUAUACAGGUUGUGAUUAUUGUUGUUGGGUCGGUUUCAUUCCGACGGGUAGCACUAUUUACAGGGGAGGUGCUGUCGAAAUUUAGUCAUAAUAAUAAUAAUAGUAAUGAAAUGAAUUAGUUUUGGUAUAUGUUUGAUAUUAUGUGCAAACGCUUAUGUGUUAUGUAUAAUGACUGAUACAUGUAUUUGGGAGUAGACUAAUUAAGAAGAACUCUAGCUUAAUAGAUUAUAAAGAUAUAAUUAAAUAUAUUUUUUUUACGUGACAUAACGUGCUAUAAUCAUGUAUGCGUGUAUUUAAAUAUCUUAACUUGAUACAUGUUAUGUGAUAUGUGUUUGUAAAUUCUAUGUAUGUGUAUAUGAAUAUAAACUUAAUGAGGGAUUAAUUGUCGAAAGGGUAGAUAGUAGUUAGAGUUAGACGUUCAGAUGGACGUCGAACCUUAACGAGGGUACUGAAAUAGUGUUUCUCGUGAUUGUAGAUACGA